UUUUCCAGUCUCCCAUGUCAAAUUAAUUCUAUCAAGCAAUUGCAGGCUCAAGGUUACAUGUGUGUCAUCAGUGAUAGCAAAAAAAAAAAAAAAAUUAAAACAUAUUCUAAUCUCUUGUGUGCAGAACUCCCACUGGUGUAAGCAGGGAAGAAUGGAAUGUAUCAUCUGUUUCUUGUUUAAAAAAAAAUGUUUCUUCAUUUAAAUACUUAACUGUGUGAAUGAGUGAGGCAGAAAAUAGAUUCACUUCAGUUCAGCAGGUACGUUUCUACUGGAUCCAAUGGAGUUGCACCUACUUAAGUGGAUACUAAGUUUGGCCACAUAUAUUUUCAUAAUGAAGCCAGCAGUGGUAAGUCUCUCUUGGUAAUACAGUUCUGUACUAAUAUGUUGAGUCCUUAUUCUCCUGUUGGAAUCAGUUUCUUUUUAUCUGUCAGCAAGGGUUCAGAAUUAUUUAGUCAUCACAUUAAUUUUUUCAGACUCAUUUUAGAAGGGCAUAUUUCCCGUUGUGUUGCUGUGCACAUUAGAUAUAUUCAGUUGGGAGGACAGAGUCAAACUUUGAACUGAUUGUUUUCCGUUACCCAGGUUAAGAGAAUGCAUUAGCAAUGUACUCCUCCUUGGAUUUUUUGCAAGGUUAUAUUGCAAAGUACACACAGCUGUAUCCCUUCGAGCAUCAAACAUGUAGUGAGAGCUUAUUCACACACAAAUAAGUGUUAGUGCAUGUUCUGGAAAUGCAUUAACUUGCUACUCUAUGGCAGUUACCUGUCCAAAAAAGAAUGAAGUAGAAUGUAAGAUUGUAAUGUAUGAACAAAAAGCUAACCACAGGAAUGCUAGAUCUAUAAAAAAAACUCAUUUUCAUUGAUUUUUUGGAAAGUUUGCUGUCAGUGUUUGUGUUUUAUUGCAGAAAAAUAAACUUUGGCAUAAGGAGAAACUCAGUUAAGCCCGCAAAAAUGGGGACAUCUUAUAAACAUUACAAAAUAAGCUGUUUCAACCUUCUUCCUGAUAGUCUCACAUGUUAGUGGUCUUGCACGUUAGUUUAAUAAAAUGUAUUUUGGAAAAUGAAGAAAUCAUCUGCUACAGCCUUUCACAAAGUAAAGCAAGACAUGCUUGCACAAUGGCAGGUGGUCAGGCAGAGUAUCUUAGUUUACCAUCUGUCAGAUGAAAUGCAAUAGCCAAUUUGGUGACUACUCCAGCCUAGCUCCUAGGCUAGGAAAACAAGUUAGAGAAGUUCUCCAGAGAAGUAUGGAUUUGAGAUAGAGACGGGGUUAGGUGUAUGUGGGAAAUUUCAUAAAGGCUGUUGCUUAGGCCUGGUUCAAUUUAAUUGUGAUCAAGUGCUGUUUGCAGAUGAGGUGUUGAGCAACUGUCCACUAUAGGGAAUUGUCAAACCUGUCUCAAAAGGUUUACACUAUGGCCUUUGAAAUGAUAGAAGCCACUUACCUUGUUUGCCUUUCUGCUGUUGCUGUUUGUAGAGAGGAACCAGGGAAAAAAUUAAAUAUUAAGGUUUAUGCUGUUAUGUUUUUACAUCUCCAGAUUUGUUAACUGUCAUUUGCUUUCUGGGGUAAGGCCAACCUAACUAUUUCCAAAAGUUUCUGAUGGAGCUUCACUAUGUAUAGCAUUUCCCUUAGGCUGUUCAGCAUAUCAGCCAGGUGAGAAUCAUCAUCUAGUGCUGCAACACAAAACAAUGAAUGAACAAGUUCAGAGUAAAAAACAAUUCCCUAAUAAAAUUUUCUACACUAGCAGUUGUAUUGUGCACAAAACGCUCUAAAUGUGUAAAUUAAAGCUGUUGUAAAUCUCCUGUUGUGCCAGGAGAUGGCAGCAUUGAUGGUUCCUAACGAAAGCUUUCCCUGCAGCAUGGUCUGCUGCUCCCCUGGCUCCAUUGCAGUUCUCUGUGGAGCUGGCAGUGCCCUGCAGAGCUACUGCACGUGUGCUGUCAUACAAGAUACAGUUAUUUGUAAUAUCGACCUAUCUCAAAAUACUCAUGGAAUGGAUGAAGAUACAUACAGGAUGGAAAUACUUUUCAAUUUGAGUUUUACAGGACUGUACAUGAUACCUAUCCAUAAAUGUAAAUGAAGACCUUUUUAGAACAAUCCAUGUGAUGGUCUUUUAGCUGCUCAAAGAGACAUCUGUAUGGCUGCCUGAGUUUGUGGCCUAGGUAGUAUUAAAGGUGUUGAUAGCAUGUUUGAGUACCAGAUAUUUAAGGAGUUUAGAAUUAGGUGGGGGUAGAGCUGACUGAGUUAGCAUAUGACCUGGACUACUGGCUAGUGUUCUAAUUAAAUUCCCUUUCUAAGGCAAAUCUUAAUAACUUACACUAGUUUUCAUACUGCUGUCAUAGGAGGCUAGGUUUAAAACUGGUAAGCAACUCUAGAUUUUUUUUUUUUUUUCUAAAGUGGAAUUCUUGGAGGAAUUUAAAAGGACAGUAAAAAUACUUCACUAAAACCCAAACAGGUAAGCUCAUUGACAAGCUACUUAAAACCAAGGGCACUUUGUUCCAAAAAAUUGUAAUGUAGUGUCUUUUAUUUUUGUUUUAAAACUGGGAAAUGCACCAGAUAAUAAAAGGGAGGAAUAGUCUUGAGUAACAAGAUAUAAAUAUGUUUUUAAAUCGCUUAUUAACCCCAUGCAGCUAUUUUGUCCCUGGGGCAUAUGUGACUGGUAGCCCCUGCUCCCAACCUCUGGUAAUGUGGUUGGCAUAACUAACACCAUUUUAGAAGGCGAACAGCCAUUCUGGGUUACUAAGUGGGUAACGUAUUCAUUCCCUUUCCCUCGUUAUCAGUCCCUGAAGGUGCUGUGAACCAACUAGACAAACCAAAUAGGUAUUUUCUUCCCCUCCCUGCUGACCUCAGAAUUCCUGGGUGCCAGGCCGAUUACUCCCUUCCUUGCUGGCCUUGAAGGUCCCAGGCACCCAGUCAGCCCGGUGUUGGUGAUGACCUCACCACAGAACAGGGAGCACUGUCCAUAAAAUCAAGCAGUUACAAGUCCAAACUGGGGAACUUUGACCCAAACUGCUGCUGGACAGUGAGACCAGUGACCCCCCCAGUGACCAGGGAUGCUUCCACCAUUGUCCGCUUCCUCUUGAGGAUCGAGUGACUUGUCAUCUUUUAUAUGAUUUUCAAAUCUAGAUUAUGAUUGUUAUAUUGAUACAGAUAACCAUGUAUUAAGAUCCAAUCUGUAGAGGGUUCAUGUGAUAAGCAAUUAUAAAUUAAGCUGUAUUAUAAAUUCUGUUUUAUGUUACUUAUAGAUUGUACCAUAUCGAUUGUACUUGUAGAAAUACUGUGCCAUUCUCAUAAUAAAUUGUGCUAUACUAAUCAUAAGUAACUACAACUCAGUGCUGUCAUCAUUCUGCUAAGGAUCCAUAAAAGAGCCUGUCUGUCCCCUUAGUGUCAGGUGACAGGCUAGUUUUAAAGAAAAAAGAGUAAUAUCUGCAUUGACAGAAUGUUGUCUUUGCACACCUCAGGCUGUGAGUUGGAGUUGGUAGAACUGUGUAUUUCAUCCUACAGCUGCUGGUCAAACAACUGAAAGCCAUCUAUUAUUUCCAGGUAAGCUUAGGUUUAUAUACAGGCAGCACAGAGACCAUCCUACUGCUCUCGGCAAUAGGACAGCCAUUUUAAAUGUGGAAACUUGCUACUGUUCUUCCCUUGCCAGGUCAGAAUAAAUGAAGCAACAUCAGCUGGCUGGCUGCGAUGGUUUCAGCAGACAGAUGCUAGUACUUUCAUUGUACAGUAUGUUCUGUGUGCACAUGGAGAAGCCUGUGUUCCCAAGAAUCUGCAGCAGGAAACAAGCUCAUGAGAAUGCAGCCGUUGGAGCGGCACGCUGGGAUAUCGCGACUACGAGUGUUGGGAAUUAAGAGUGGCAGUGAUCUGUCUGCCCUGCCCUGGGUGGGGCCCGCAUGACACGGCAGCAGAGGCUAGCACAGCACAGGGCUGGAGUCGGGCUUGCAGGUACCGAUUUCAGCUUGGUGAGGCUCAUUCCUCAAAUGCAAAGCAAGCGUUCAUUUAUUUGUACCGUUUACCCGCUUCUGGAGUGGAGAUAGUGCUACAUUAGGUAAAAGGAAGUCACACAGUUUAGGACUUGCUUGUAAGGUAAUAUGAGACGGAGGCAAUAUCACAAAGGGGGCCAUGUGCCUCAGGAACACUUGUGCAUUGACAGAGCAAUUCCAAAUGUUUGUGUUGCAUCAGUUCUGCAAAUACUCUUUGUUACAGUGCAUGAAAGAUACAAUACCUGUCAACAUUAGCUUUGUAAAGAGAGACCGUUUUCUUCUGUUGACUAAUUAUCCAGUGAAUAUAUUCAGUUUGAAGAGACACUUCAAUAAUUUAGCAGGCAUGUGCCAGGUAAUAUAGGAGCUUUUGUCUUACUAGUGGCAUAGAUCUUCAAUCAUGUGUAACUGAACCUCUGGCUUUAUGUAUUCAAGGAAGUGUUUCGUAUAGCUCCUGUAUCAAGUGCCACUGAAAAACAGGCCUGGAUAAAAGAUUAAGGUAAUGCUCUUAACUGCGAAUAGGAAGAGUCUACCCUUCACUGUCCAGUAUAUACUUGCAGGCAAUAGCUGCUUCAUACAUGUGAAGUAAGUAUAUGCUGAGAUCCAAUAAUGAAUCUGUUGUAGCAAUAGAAGAAUGCUGGAAGCUGUAUGUUAAAUACCUGGGUCCGUUAAGUCUCCUUGCUUUAUGGUGUAUUAACAAAUGCUUUGUAGUUUGAUACGGAAUACUUUCUGUCAUUAAUGUUUUUUAAAUGCAAAUCAUUAGCGCUACAUUCUUUGGUUUGCUGGACCAGAUGAGGAGAAUGAUAAUGUUCAGUUCCUGGGAACGCCAAGAAGCAAAACUCAAGUAACAGUUUUUCUUCAGACCCUCACAAAGUGCUUUAUCACAGUUGUGCCAUCUUCCAGAAAUGUGUAAGUUCAAAUGUCUUUUUCUGAGCCACUGUCAACUGGUUCAGUCACCUUCCUCUGCUAGCCUACAGUACUAAUCUACAACAAAUGGAGAUACAUCUUGUUUAGAACAGGCCGUGAUUAUUGUACUCGGUGAAGUGCAGACAUAAUGCAGUAGCUCAAACUAGUGUAAAACUGCUAAAACCAGAGUAAAAAUACAGUCUUUUUACUCUGGAAAGACAGCUGUCUGCCAUGCUCCUGCUGUAACACAGUGGGAUUUAUAUGGACUCAAAAGGACAGACAUCACUUACUGACAGGGAAUUGCUUUCUGCAGAUAUCUGACUAUUCCUUAGAGGUCUCGUUUUUCUACAUCGUGUUCAUUCAUGGUCUAAAGCAGCAGGGUUGCAGACAGUAAUCAGUUGUUUAUGCAUUAAUUUUUAAUUUAUGGAACAGUACCUAUAUAUUUGUAAAGAACAACUUUUGCAUCUGUUGAAUGUUGUCAGAUUUCAAACAUUAGCAUGUAGCAUUUCAGAAACACAUUCACUGGACUGAAAGGGAUUGGGAUUGCCACAAAAACACGGAAAGAUGGGAAAUGUCUAUUAAAAGAGAACAGCUUAGCAAAAGCUUUUUCAUUGAACCCUUCUCCUAUCAAGCUUUUGUUCAACCAUAGGCUGUGUGAUGCUGUUCGAGUCAUGCUGUAAUGCUGACCUGCGUCUUUCACAAUGGCUUGGGUCAUCUACUUCAUCAUCUGAGCACCUUCUUUGGUGGUCCUGCCAGCAGCAGUGGGGAAAUGAAAGAGAAGAUAAUUGAACUUUCCAAACUAUUCUGUACAUGGCUUGGCCCAGGGGAAAGUUCCCCAAUAGUAACUUCCCCAUUAUGGAGACAUCUGAGCACCUACUUACUACUCUCUUGCUCUUACUAGGCCUCCUUAUCUUCAUGGACAGUGCUGUCAAAGCUACCCUUGUGGUAAGGUAACAGAAGAGUUGUUUUCUUUUUGUAGGCUGAGGAAAAUGUCCUUUGAAGUAGGACUGGCCUUGGCAUCCCCCAGGCUGGCAAAAGGAAAACCGUACUCCACGAAGCGUUUGGAUUUCCUGAUUUAGUACCAAUCCAUAUGCUUCAUUCAUGAGCUUGACUUUACUUCAAAAAUACAGAUCAAUGGACCUACCAACCUUUUUGUCUUUCUAAGAAUGCAUGUAAUACAUAGCCUUUUUAUUGUCUUAUGCUCAUCUCUAUGCGCUUAUCCACUAACUAAAAGCAUGAUGUAGUAACUGGUCUGUGUGAUUUAGCAGGAAAUGGCCUGCCUUUGUUUCAGUUGUCAUGUUCAGCUGAAGUCAUUGUCCUGCUGCAGUGUUGGGGACAUCGUGUUGCUGGCAGUUGCCUGUUGAGCUAUUGAUUGCUUUUCCUCAUCAGCAAUGACUGCGAUGCUCCAGCGGGUUGGGUGUGGGUGUUGUACUGUUGGGAACUGGAUGGCAUCACCCAAGUGUUGACCCUUGCAGCCUGUGGUGGGGCUGCCGUUCUGUGGCAGUGUGGUAACUGUUUCUGUAAAAGACACACUUUAGGCCUUUUGAGAUCACGUAGAAGCUGGAAUUCUUCCCAGGUUUCAGGUAACUAUGUUUUUCUUUUUAAAUACCUUUCCAGGGUCCACGGAUAUAGCUUUUGUAUCCAGUGCUGAUACGUUGUUUUGAUGUUUUGACAGUUCAGUUGUGUUCAUAUCCUGUUCAGCACCACUGCAAACAGUCAUUGUGUUUGAAUAGAGUAGACAUGGCAUUAAGUACCUUCUAAAAGUGUCAGAAAUUGGAAGGAUGAUAUUGGAGUAGAUGGAUUAUUUAUCUCAUUGGAUGUGACAAAAGAGUCUGUGUUAGUGAGGUCUAAAAUACAGCAACCUGGAGAAGAGGACACCACCAGAUUAAGGAGACAAUCCAGACGGUUGAGACCUGGGUAUGCUUGCCUGUGAGAGGUUGAAUAGAAAGGGCCCACCUGAGAUCUCAGAUUUGGGGAUACCCGAGCCUGUUCUGAAGAGACUCUUCCUCUAUGGCAUCACCAAAGACAGGAACCAUUUCUACGUGGUUCUGUACUUGGAUGGUCUUGCAGUGCCACCUUCUCUUAAGAUUUUCAGUGGAAUCAGGAUGCUUGGUUUGGUGAUCUGCAGCUCCUCCAUUUUACAUCUUGGAUAAUGCUGCUGAAGUCCACCAGAAGGAGCCUUUGUGUAUCACUUUUGUAUAAACCUCAAGGAAUAUAUUAACAUGAAAGAAGAGGAACUGGGAUUCCUCCUUUGAAAGAUGCAGGGCUCAUGUUUGAAGUGGGAAAAAGUAUAUGAUGUUUUUCUCCCCCUGACCAGUACAAGCAUCAUGAACUGAGAUGCUUCUGGUAGCUGUUGAGAACUAUGAGCCUUGCCUUCCUUGCAGAGGAGUUGGAGUCUAUUUGGAUGAUUUGAAUCUUUGCCAUCAUUUGGAGCAGAAUUAAGCUCUGUAAAAGGACAGUGACUGAAUGCCAACUGGGUUGCCAUUAGCUCGGGCAGCCCGGGAAGCAGCUGAUGUGCAGUUUGUGGUGGAAGUCAUGCAGACAGAAGGGGUAUGACUCAGUGGUGGAGAGGCCCUGGCCUCUGGCUUUAUUCCGACCCCAAAGGUGUGUUCGGGGCUUGCUGUUGGGAUGGACCAGGGACAGCACAAAUACACACCACUGCAUAAGCCACGGAGGCUCCAAGGAUUCCCACAUGACAGACCCUUUUGCAGAAGGCUGUUAAUAGUGUGGUGGUGGUGUUGGGUGCUGCUGGCCUAGCUCCAUCUUUCGUCCACAGUAAUCAAUGGAAAUGUGUCUUGAAGUCUGGUGCUUUAGGAAUUAAAAGCUUAAUGGCUUUCCUUGGUGCUUUCCCCCCCCUCCCCUUAUGAAGCAUGGGGUGUUUAGAACUAUGGAAGCAGUGCAAGAAAAAUAUUAAUGAAUAACUAUGGAGUGCAGACAUUAA